AGAUUAAGUUAUUAAGGGCGCACGGUGGAUGCCUUGGCACUAGAAGCCGAUGAAGGACGUUACUAACGACGAUAUGCUUUGGGGAGCUGUAAGUAAGCUUUGAUCCAGAGAUUUCCGAAUGGGGAAACCCAGCAUGAGUUAUGUCAUGUUAUCGAUAUGUGAAUACAUAGCAUAUCAGAAGGCACACCCGGAGAACUGAAACAUCUUAGUACCCGGAGGAAGAGAAAGAAAAUUCGAUUCCCUUAGUAGCGGCGAGCGAAAUGGGAAGAGCCCAAACCAACAAGCUUGCUUGUUGGGGUUGUAGGACACUCUAUACGGAGUUACAAAGGACGACAUUAGACGAAUCAUCUGGAAAGAUG
rnacentral:rRNA from 3 species